AGUGGAACUGCUACUGUCAAAAGUGAAGUGUCAGAGCUGCGCCAAUGAAACGUCAAGCUUCGUGAAUUGUGAUAAAUUUCAUUGAACAAUAAAGUUAAAAUUAAUAAUAAUUUAAAUUGUUCACGAUGCCGGCUAGUACAUCGGACAUGGAGCCGUUAAGAGAAAAGGCCUUCCAGGAUUACAGAAAGAAGCUCAUGGAGCAUAAGGAAGUCGAGUCACGACUCAAAGAAGGUCGUGACCAACUAAAAGAUUUGACCAAACAAUAUGACAAGAGUGAAAAUGACCUGAAAGCCUUACAAAGUGUUGGACAAAUAGUUGGAGAAGUCUUGAAACAGCUCACAGAAGAAAAAUUUAUUGUAAAAGCUACUAAUGGCCCUCGCUACGUUGUUGGCUGUCGUCGGCAACUUGACAAGAACAAGCUUAAAGGAGGAACACGAGUUGCCCUCGACAUGACUACUCUUACAAUAAUGAGACAUCUGCCUAGAGAGGUUGAUCCCCUAGUUUACAACAUGAGUCAUGAGGAUCCUGGUGACGUGACCUAUUCCGCCAUAGGAGGUCUUCAAGAACAGAUUAGACAGCUGAGAGAGGUGAUUGAACUUCCCCUAAUGAACCCAGAGCUGUUUGUUCGAGUCGGUAUCACUCCACCCAAAGGAUGUUUGCUGUACGGACCUCCUGGUACAGGAAAGACUUUGCUCGCGAGGGCUGUGGCUUCACAGCUCGAUGCUAACUUUUUAAAGGUGGUGUCAUCGGCGAUUGUUGACAAGUACAUCGGUGAAUCGGCCCGCCUCAUCCGGGAGAUGUUCAACUACGCGCGGGACCACCAACCCUGCAUCAUAUUCAUGGACGAGAUCGAUGCCAUCGGUGGGAGACGUUUUUCCGAAGGCACGAGCGCCGAUCGAGAGAUCCAACGUACCCUGAUGGAGUUGUUGAACCAAAUGGAUGGUUUCGACUCCUUGGGACAGGUGAAGAUCAUCAUGGCCACCAACAGACCAGACACGCUGGACCCCGCUCUGCUGAGGCCCGGAAGAUUGGACAGGAAAAUCGAAAUACCCCUGCCCAAUGAACAGGCUAGAUUGGAAAUCUUGAAGAUCCACGCGUCGCCGAUCGCCAAGCACGGCGAGAUGGACUACGAGGCGGUCGUGAAGCUUUCAGAUACUUUCAACGGCGCGGACCUGCGCAACGUCUGCACGGAGGCAGGACUCUUCGCCAUCAGGGCCGAGCGGGAGUACAUCAUACAGGAGGAUCUAAUGAAGGCCGUCCGUAAAGUAGCCGACAACAAAAAGCUGGAGAGCAAACUGGACUACAAGCCCGUCUGAUUUUAAAUUAUAAUUAUCAUGUGACUCAUUUAAGGGGCGCCAAGAAAAAAGGUUUAGAACCACUGACUAAAUAGGUAAUUCAUUCGAUUCAAACUUCGCUUAAAUAAAUGUUAUGUGAACCAAAAUAAUUAGAACACUAAAUUAAUACACUUUAAAUUUCAACAACAAUGGUAUCUCGAAUUGUACCCAUUGAUGAAAAUCAGUGCACUGUUAGAAAGACAUUAACGAAUGUUGGGUCCUUAAAAUUUUCUUGAAAUUUAUUUUUAAUAGGCUGCUGCGUAAAUUGUAUUUUUUUAUUUACACGCUUUAAGUUUUCUCACGUGUGUUGAAAAAUGUUAUUUAGUCAUUGGUUCUCAAACUUGUAAAUCACACCUUAAAUGUUUUACUGAUAAUUAUUUUAAGAAUGCAGUUUCAAUGAACAUUUGAAAUUCGAAGCACGAAAAUGCUGAUCAUUAGUGUUAAUCUUUUUUUUUUUAAACUAUACAUUAGAAAUAAAAAUCUUUCACAGUAUAUCUGUGCGCGAUUAAUGUGUAAAAGUGUGUAAUAAAAAAAAUACAAGUUU